AGAGACAAAGUUCCUCGUGGUGUCUUAUGACCUUCUAGCACAUCUUGUUCAGCUACACUCAAACCUGUGAAAACCAGGACAUGCAAAGUUAAAAUACAUACAUCCCAUCCACAGUACAAACUGAGCUCCCUGGAGCUGGAAGGACCACUGAGAGGUUUUGUCCAUCAUGGUGCCCCUUCAGGGUGUUUAAGCACUUGGCAAUAUUUCUCCAGUUGUCCUCACACCAUCCCUGUGAAACAGAGCAAUGCUACGACACCUUUUACGGAUGAGGAAUUGAGGCACAGAGAGUCAUCAGUCUGGUGUAUACACUGCAACAAAAACUCAUGCUAUCCAGGCUAUUUCAUUGCAGUGUAGAUGUUUGGGACCUCUCUCCUCACAGGCUUCUGGAACCCAGACUCCAGCCCAGUCUAUACUUCAGCCCCUUAGCCCAAGCUAGCUGUGCACAUCUAAUGGCAGUAGAGACAUACCCUUAGAGAUUAAUCCCAUGAUCCCAUGGAAAAUCCAUGCUACCGCAGGGUAUUGAGCCCAGCGCUCCCAAUUCCUAUGCAAGACUGCUAACCACUGGCCCAUCCUUCCUCCAUAUGAUUGCAGAAGGGAGUUGCCAUUGUAAACAGACACAAUGAAUGAUUACAAGACUGUUCCAUUGUUUGUUCAGUAUUCUACAGCUCUGAAUUCCAGAACUUGCCUGCAUGUGCUCCAACUGAUAUUAGGUGGAGGGAGUAUUUGAAGAGCAGACUAGAAGACUUAUUACUGUGAAAGAAGAAAGGUGAAAUGCCAUGGGCAUUGCCAUCAAUCUGGUGGCAUAAAUGACGGCGGUCUCCAAGCUGUUUUAGGUAGAAGCCACUCAGACUAGAGGAUGGAUUUUGAAUCAUGGUUCAACCUCAACAGUGCAUCUGAUUAAAUCUCACCAGGUCACUAUCUGGCCACUCAGAAGUUUAUACGGCGCUCAACAAUCCAGAAGCUUGGUUGUUUAGGCCUUUACUCCCAGUCCCCUGAAUGUACAACAAAAGCAAUAGAGCCUGAAACAUCUGGUUGCUCUUUAUCUAUAGAAAGGACAACCAAGGCAUGCAGCAGUGAAGUAACUUGACCAGGUACCACAGCAGUCAGAAGCAGGAAAGCAGCUCAGCUCUGCUGACACCCAGCCCUGCCCAUUAACCCCCUCAGUCAUGCCUCUCUGCACUUGUUUUAAGAGGCAGCUCAUGGUGCCAUUUAAGAGGCUGUUUGUGCCAUUGCCCCCAAAGUCUGUGGCGAAUCAGUCUCCUCACCUGGUAAAUGGUUGAUAGUCCCUUUGGGUAUGUC